UUUCGACCUGAGGUCAGGCAAGAACACCCGCUGAACUAAG
rnacentral:rRNA from 1 species